CAGCCGCCGCGGGAACACGAAGGGUGCAAGCGUUACUCGGAAUUACUGGGCGUAAAGCGUGCGUAGGUGGUGGUUUAAGUCCGUUGUGAAAGCCCUGGGCUCAACCUGGGAAUUGCAGUGGAUACUGGGUCACUAGAGUGUGGUAGAGGAUAGUGGAAUUUCCGGUGUAGCAGUGAAAUGCGUAGAGAUCGGAAGGAACAUCUGUGGCGAAGGCGACUAUCUGGGCCAACACUGACACUGAGGCACGAAAGCGUGGGGAGCAAACAGGAUUAGAUACCCGUGUAGUCCCUGUCUCUUAUAC
rnacentral:rRNA from 1 species